GACGAACGCUGGCGGCGUGCUUAACACACGCAAGUCGAACGGAAAGGCCCUGCUUUUGUGGGGUGCUCGAGUGGCGAACGGGUGAGUAACACGUGAGUAACCUGCCCUUGACUUUGGGAUAACUUCAGGAAACUGGGGCUAAUACCGGAUAGGAGCUCCUGCUGCAUGGUGGGGGUUGGAAAGUUUCGGCGGUUGGGGAUGGACUCGCGGCUUAUCAGCUUGUUGGUGGGGUAGUGGCUUACCAAGGCUUUGACGGGUAGCCGGCCUGCGAGGGUGACCGGCCACAUUGGGACUGAGAUACGGCCCAGACUCCUACGGGAGGCAGCAGUGGGGAAUAUUGCACAAUGGGCGGAAGCCUGAUGCAGCAACGCCGCGUGCGGGAUGACGGCCUUCGGGUUGUAAACCGCUUUCGCCUGUGACGAAGCGUGAGUGACGGUAAUGGGUAAAGAAGCACCGGCUAACUACGUG
rnacentral:rRNA from 1 species